rnacentral:rRNA from 1 species
GGUGUCCAUACCGGAAGGGCCACACCCGUUCCCAUUCCGAAUACGGCCGUUAAGCCUUCCAGGGUCAAUGGUACUGCAUCCGCGAGGUUGUGGGAGAGUAGAUCGGUGCC